GGUCAAGUGAAGAAGCGCAUACGGUGGAUGCCUUGGCAGUCAGAGGCGAUGAAAGACGUGGUAGCCUGCGAAAAGCUUCGGGGAGUCGGCAAACAGACUUUGAUCCGGAGAUCUCUGAAUGGGGGAACCCACCUAGGAUAACCUAGGUAUCUUGUACUGAAUCCAUAGGUGCAAGAGGCGAACCAGGGGAACUGAAACAUCUAAGUACCCUGAGGAAAAGAAAUCAACCGAGAUUCCCUUAGUAGUGGCGAGCGAACGGGGAUUAGCCCUUAAGCUUCAUUGAUUUUAGCGGAACGCUCUGGAAAGUGCGGCCAUAGUGGGUGAUAGCCCCGUACGCGAAAGGAUCUUUGAAGUGAAAUCGAGUAGGACGGAGCACGAGAAACUUUGUCUGAACAUGGGGGGACCAUCCUCCAAGGCUAAAUACUACUGACUGACCGAUAGUGAACCAGUACCGUGAGGGAAAGGCGAAAAGAACCCCGGAGAGGGGAGUGAAAUAGAACCUGAAACCGUAUGCGUACAAGCAGUGGGAGCCUACUUGUUAGGUGACUGCGUACCUUUUGUAUAAUGGGUCAGCGACUUAUAUUCAGUGGCAAGCUUAACCGUAUAGGGUAGGCGUAGCGAAAGCGAGUCUUAAUAGGGCGUUUAGUCGCUGGGUAUAGACCCGAAACCGGGCGAUCUAUCCAUGAGCAGGUUGAAGGUUAGGUAACACUGACUGGAGGACCGAACCCACUCCCGUUGAAAAGGUAGGGAUGACUUGUGGAUCGGAGUGAAAGGCUAAUCAAGCUCGGAGAUAGCUGGUUCUCCUCGAAAGCUAUUUAGGUAGCGCCUCAUGUAUCACUCUGGGGGGUAGAGCACUGUUUCGGCUAGGGGGUCAUCCCGACUUACCAAACCGAUGCAAACUCCGAAUACCCAGAAGUGCCGAGCAUGGGAGACACACGGCGGGUGCUAACGUCCGUCGUGAAAAGGGAAACAACCCAGACCGCCAGCUAAGGUCCCAAAGUUGUGGUUAAGUGGUAAACGAUGUGGGAAGGCUUAGACAGCUAGGAGGUUGGCUUAGAAGCAGCCACCCUUUAAAGAAAGCGUAAUAGCUCACUAGUCGAGUCGGCCUGCGCGGAAGAUGUAACGGGGCUCAAACCACACACCGAAGCUGCGGGUGUCACGUAAGUGACGCGGUAGAGGAGCGUUCUGUAAGCCUGUGAAGGUGAGUUGAGAAGCUUGCUGGAGGUAUCAGAAGUGCGAAUGCUGACAUGAGUAACGACAAUGGGUGUGAAAAACACCCACGCCGAAAGACCAAGGGUUCCUGCGCAACGUUAAUCGACGCAGGGUUAGUCGGUUCCUAAGGCGAGGCUGAAAAGCGUAGUCGAUGGGAAACAGGUUAAUAUUCCUGUACUUCUGGUUACUGCGAUGGAGGGACGGAGAAGGCUAGGCCAGCUUGGCGUUGGUUGUCCAAGUUUAAGGUGGUAGGCUGAAAUCUUAGGUAAAUCCGGGGUUUCAAGGCCGAGAGCUGAUGACGAGUCGUCUUUUAGAUGACGAAGUGGUUGAUGCCAUGCUUCCAAGAAAAGCUUCUAAGCUUCAGGUAACCAGGAACCGUACCCCAAACCGACACAGGUGGUCGGGUAGAGAAUACCAAGGCGCUUGAGAGAACUCGGGUGAAGGAACUAGGCAAAAUGGCACCGUAACUUCGGGAGAAGGUGCGCCGGCUAGGGUGAAGGAUUUACUCCGUAAGCUCUGGCUGGUCGAAGAUACCAGGCCGCUGCGACUGUUUAUUAAAAACACAGCACUCUGCAAACACGAAAGUGGACGUAUAGGGUGUGACGCCUGCCCGGUGCCGGAAGGUUAAUUGAUGGGGUUAGCGCAAGCGAAGCUCUUGAUCGAAGCCCCGGUAAACGGCGGCCGUAACUAUAACGGUCCUAAGGUAGCGAAAUUCCUUGUCGGGUAAGUUCCGACCUGCACGAAUGGCGUAACGAUGGCGGCGCUGUCUCCACCCGAGACUCAGUGAAAUUGAAAUCGCUGUGAAGAUGCAGUGUAUCCGCGGCUAGACGGAAAGACCCCGUGAACCUUUACUGUAGCUUUGCACUGGACUUUGAGCCUGCUUGUGUAGGAUAGGUGGGAGGCUUUGAAGCGUGGACGCCAGUUCGCGUGGAGCCAUCCUUGAAAUACCACCCUGGCAUGCUUGAGGUUCUAACUCUGGUCCGUAAUCCGGAUCGAGGACAGUGUAUGGUGGGCAGUUUGACUGGGGCGGUCUCCUCCUAAAGAGUAACGGAGGAGUACGAAGGUGCGCUCAGACCGGUCGGAAAUCGGUCGCAGAGUAUAAAGGCAAAAGCGCGCUUGACUGCGAGACAGACACGUCGAGCAGGUACGAAAGUAGGUCUUAGUGAUCCGGUGGUUCUGUAUGGAAGGGCCAUCGCUCAACGGAUAAAAGGUACUCCGGGGAUAACAGGCUGAUACCGCCCAAGAGUUCAUAUCGACGGCGGUGUUUGGCACCUCGAUGUCGGCUCAUCACAUCCUGGGGCUGAAGCCGGUCCCAAGGGUAUGGCUGUUCGCCAUUUAAAGUGGUACGCGAGCUGGGUUUAGAACGUCGUGAGACAGUUCGGUCCCUAUCUGCCGUGGACGUUUGAGAUUUGAGAGGGGCUGCUCCUAGUACGAGAGGACCGGAGUGGACGAACCUCUGGUGUUCCGGUUGUCACGCCAGUGGCAUUGCCGGGUAGCUAUGUUCGGAAAAGAUAACCGCUGAAAGCAUCUAAGCGGGAAACUUGCCUCAAGAUGAGAUCUCACUGGGAACUUGAUUCCCCUGAAGGGCCGUCGAAGACUACGACGUUGAUAGGCUGGGUGUGUAAGCGUUGUGAGGCGUUGAGCUAACCAGUACUAAUUGCCCGUGAGGCUUGACCAU
rnacentral:rRNA from 1 species